CCUACGGGAGGCAGCAGUGGGGGAUAUUGCACAAUGGGGGGAACCCUGAUGCAGCGACGCCGCGUGGGCGAAGAAGCGCCUCGGCGCGUAAAGCCCUGUCAGCAGGGAAGAAAAUGACGGUACCUGACGAAGAAGCCCCGGCUAACUACGUGCCAGCAGCCGCGGUAAUACGUAGGGGGCAAGCGUUAUCCGGAUUUACUGGGUGUAAAGGGGGCGCAGACGGCGAUGCAAGCCAGGAGUGAAAGCCCGGGGCCCAACCCCGGGACUGCUCUUGGAACUGCGUGGCUGGAGUGCAGGAGGGGCAGGCGGAAUUCCUGGUGUAGCGGUGAAAUGCGUAGAUAUCAGGAGGAACACCGGUGGCGAAGGCGGCCUGCUGGACUGCAACUGACGUUGAGGCCCGAAAGCGUGGGGAGCAAACAGGAUUAGAUACCCCAGUAGUC
rnacentral:rRNA from 1 species